rnacentral:rRNA from 1 species
CAAGGAAUUUUCGUCAAUGGGGGCAACCCUGAACGAGCAACGCCGCGUGGAGGAUGACGGCCUUCGGGUUGUAAACUCCUUUUUCGGGGGAUGAUUAUGACAGUACCCCGGGAAUAAGGCUCGGCUAACUCUGUGCCAGCAGCCGCGGUAAGACAGAGGAGCCAAGCGUUGUCCGGAUUGACUGGGCGUAAAGCGCACGCAGGCGGCUCUGUGCGUGGGGUGUGAAAGCGGACGGCUUAACUGUCCGAGGCCAUCCCAUACGGCAGAGCUCGAGCCAUGCAGAGGUCCGCGGAAUUGCCGGUGUAGUGGUGAAAUGCGUAGAGAUCGGCAGGAACACCCAGGGGGAAACCAGCGGACUGGGCAUGAGCUGACGCUCAGGUGCGACAGCGUGGGGAGCGAACCGG